GCUGGAUGCGGUGUGUGCCUGUAGUCCCAGCUACUCGGGAGGCUGAGGCAGGAGGCUCACUUGCGUUCAGGCGUUCUGGGCUGUAGUGUGUUGUGCUGAUUGGGUGUCUGCACUAAGUUUGACAUCAAUAAGGUGACCUCCCAGGAGCCAGGGACCACCAGGUUGCCCAAGGAGGGGUGAAUCAGCCCAGAUCCAAAAUGGAGCAGGUCAGAACUCCCGUGCUGAUCAGUGGGACUGCACCUGUGAAUAGCCGCUGCACUCCAGCCUGGGCAGCAUAGUGAGACCUUGUUUCUA
rfam:Chlorocebus sabaeus isolate 1994-021 chromosome 26, whole genome shotgun sequence.